rnacentral:lncRNA from 1 species
GUUUUCCAUCCAUGUUUUAAUUCUCUAAAGAGUCCAGUGAGAUGAAGAGGCUCCAGCAUAGCAGCUACAGGUCCCUCCACCUCCACCCAUGUGCCCCUCCCCAGCCCGCAACCCCACCAGGAAGAGCAGCAAGUCAUUUCUCAGGAACUAGGACCUGAUGAACGCCUCUCACAGCUUACUUGAGGGAGGACAAAAGAACAAGCCUGACCUUCUCAAUGGUCCUUAAAUCAAAAAGCAGUACUUAAAAGUAUCCUUCAUUUUCACAAAGAAAAUUACUCAAAAGAAUACAAGGUUCUGAUUAACGGUGAGAACAAACCAAGCUUUGCAGGAGCUGCACCAGAGAAGCUGAAGGCUUUGGUAGCCACGAACCUCACAGCGGCCCAGGGGGUGAGGCGCCUUCCCUGGCCUGGGCGCCCCCACGGCCCCUAAGAGCAGGGCUGGGGCCUGGCGAGGUGAGUGCCAGGAAGGCGCCGAUGCAGCUCUUCCCAGCGGACUGGCUGCCUGGACAGGUGACCUUUCUCCUCUGACCACCAAGCCGAGUUCCCCUUCAAUCACAGGGCCACAGGUCUGGAGCAGAGCUCUUGCCCUAAAGCCAGGAAGCUCCUGCAGAGAAGCUGCAAGACCGGCUCCCAGGUAAGGAAAAGCCACAGAUUUUGACCCCCCUCUGGGAUUAGGGGCAAUGUUGGCUGGGGUGGGAAAGGGUGAAAUUGGUGGGCCAGAGGAAAGAGAAGGUCUUUCUUUUGUAACUUGGAGGCGGAAGUCCCUGAAUAUCUAGUGCCAUUUGUAUGCAAAAUGACAGGAGGCUAAAUGGAAGGGAGUGUGGCUGCCUGUUCGGAACCUUCACUCUGACUUGUGGUGUUUUCACUUAAAACAUAUUGCCUGGGGCUUUGGAGACUGGGUUCCCAGUGGAACAACUUCUUAAUGAUUCUGGCUGCUCCAUCAGGAAUUUGGUUUCAUAUCCACCACCCAGCAGGAGAAACACAUGCCUCCAGAAAUCCUGGAGGGAAUGGGGAAAGAGCAAAGGAUCGGUCUUUUUUUUGCAUUUAAAGUCCUAAUUGGAGCUCCCUGGUGGCCUGGCGGACUAAAGAUCCAGUGCUGUGCCUGCAGUAACUCCAGUUUUAUCCCUUGCCCAAGACUUCUGCAUGCUGAGGACAUGGUCAAAAAAAAAAAAAAAAAAGGAAAGAAAGAAAGAAAAAAAAGAAGUCCUGGAGUUCCCAUUGUGGCUCAGUGGUUAACGAAUCUGACUGGGAACUAUGAGGUUGGGGGUUCGAUCCCUGGCCUCACUCCGUGGGUUAAGGAUCCAGCGUUGCCAUGAGCUGUGGUGUAGGUCACAGAUGCAGCUCAGAUCUGACAUUGCUGUGGCUCUGGCGUAAGCUGGUGGCUACAGCUCUGAUUAGGUCCCUAGCCUGGGAACCUCCAUAUGCCAUGGGAGCAGCCCUAGAAAAGAUAAAAAGACCAAAAAAAAAAAAAAAAGUCCUAAUCGAUGGCAGAUCAUUGCUGUUGAGAGAUUCCUCCUUACACUAGGAUCUGGGAUAAGUUCUCUCUUUUUUUUGGCUGCAUCCACAGCAUGCAGAAGUUCCUGGGCCAAGGAUUGAACCAGAGUCACAGCAGUAACAAUGCAGGAUUCUUACCCUGUUGCACCACCACGGAACUCCCUUGGAUCAAUUCUAAGGCCAGAUCCAACCUAAACUAUACCUGUACCUUUGAUGGCGCUAACUUGGCCAAGGAGAGGUCCGCUACCACCUCCCCCACCAAAGCAGAAGAAGGAUCCUGGCUGUGGCCACCUCGCUGGGGACUUUGCCAAAUGUGACCCCUGUGAGAGUGGGAGUGUGGACCUGAGACCUCAUGAGGCCACCUUUGACAGGGGCUUUAAGGAGAAGGCUACCCACCAAUCUUUCCACGUUCCAUUGCGUACAAAGGAAUCCACAGGCAAAUCAGAGCCUCCUCAGGCUGACGUGGGGGUACUCAGGGCUGCCAACAUUCUGGGCCAGGCCCUGGCCCUUGGCCUUAUGUCAGCCAGGGCCCAGCCAGCCUUCCUAUUGGGAAAAGGGUGGCUGGCCUGGGGGNNNNNNNNNNNNNNGGGCGGGCUUCAGCCUGCCCCUGGCCUGAGUGUCUGAGCCUGACUAAGGAACUGGGCCCUCUUCCAGGUCAGCCCAAACCUGAUCUCUGGGGAGCUAGGAAAAACCAGCUUCUUCUCCAGUAAGACCUCACACCCUCUGGAUAUGGUCACUCCCAGGAGUCUACAGUCCCAGGGCUGCAGAAAGCAUGUCAUUUAUCCCAGCAGCUCAGAAUCACAGGGAGUCUGUGGAGACACUGCCAGUGGGGCUCUUACUGCCACCUGACUCCCAGGCAGCGUGUCUUCGGUGUUCACUGGCUGAGCAGCCAGCCCCCCAAAGGCACUCGCUGACCUUACAGCCUUCACCUCACUCUAAAGUACGACCUUCUCUGUGUGCUGUGGUUCUCCUGGCCCAUGGCCUAGACCUAUAAUAUGUGGGAAGUUAUAGUUAUGCUGGACAUUUUUUUAAUCUUCCAGGCAUUUUAUUGCCUCAAACGAUAGAAUUAUUAGGAAUGCUAAAGGUGGACAGCAGCAAUUUUUGAUUCUUGGGCAAAGACAUCUGAAAAAAGUUCACCAGAAAAAUAUGUCCAUGGGCUUUGGCCUGUUUCUAAGUGUAUAGGGAUUGCAUACGGGUUACCCUCCUUGCACGCUGCUAACCCCACAUGGCCAGCAGGGGGCAGAAGAGGGCCACAGGAGAUCCAGGCUGGUGCGGGUCCAGGCCUGGAAAGGUUCCCCGCAGCCACCUCCACACAGCCUUGGGAACCUUCCACAAAUCCUCCCCCACUUCUCUUGGUGUCAUUCUCAGGUCUCAGCUAAAGGGGGGAGGCCAGGUGGGGCUGGUGACAAAGGGCAGCCUGAACUGAAAAGAUGGCGUUUAUAGGACUUUAUGAACUCAGCCAAAAAGACUUCUUUUCUGGCACGCUAUUGAGUUUACAAUGCAACUUACACCUCGGAGAUGAGACUGAGUUUCAGAGGGAAAAGGAAGUUACUCCGAAUCAGAGACUGGUCUCUGAUUCCUGCCCCUACCCGCCACGGUAUGACUGCUUCUCUGACUUUUCCACUUAAAAGAAACAGGAAAUGAUGGAGACCAGACUUAACGCACAGCAUUAUUUUUCCAGUGGGGUAUUAGGUGGAGUAAAAUAAUCCUGUUUGGCUCAAAUUAUGGGGUUAAGGUGGGAGGUUACAAAAAGAAAAAUCAUUUUAGUUCUAUGAAGUGCAAAUUUACUUCUCAUGCAUAAAAAGGAAACUGUGCUUCCUGCCUGCCUGGCUUCCCUUUCCCCAUUGUGUACACUUUUGGGGAAAGGGAAGGCCUUAGCGCCAGGGCCUGGCCUCGCGGGCUGGGCCUGCGAGUCCUGGAGGGUCCUGAGGUCAGUCCUUGCUCUCAUCCAGAGCCACGCUGCCUGACACAGAAAAGAUGGAAACAAACUUGCUGCCAGCCCAGGGUCUCUGCUGGCGUCUGUGUCCUCAACAGAGAACCAAGGCCAUGCAUAUGAGUGAAACCACCCCAGGGGAUGCCGAGUCCCAGGGCUCCAGCUGGGUCCCUGAGUCUUCACCUUGAGAUGGCUCCAGGGCUGAGACCAUAGGGAGCGGGCAGGGUGUGUGUGUGUGUGUGUGUGUGUGUGUGUGCUGCCAGGUCUUCACCUUGAGAUGGCUCCAGGGCUGAGACCAUAGGGAGCGGGCAGGGGUGUGUCUGUGUGUGUAAGAGCAUGUGCAAGCACUCUGAGUCCUGGGGUAGUGGUGGCUUCUUGGGGAUGGCAGGUGAGACUUGGAUGCAUCUGUUUUGUUUUUUCCACACCUACAGCGUGUGGAAGUUCCUGGGCCAAGGGAUCAAAUCAGAGAUGCAGGUGCAAACUAUGUCACAGCUGUGGUAACGCAGGAUCCUUAACCUGCUGUGCCACAAGGGAACUUCUGAGACAAGGGAACUUCUGAGACAAGGGAACUUCUGAGACUCAGCCACAUAUGGCUCCGGGCCACUGGUGCCCUGGGAGGGACAGCAGGGAGGAGCACAGGGCACUGCUGCUCUGGCCCCUGCUCUAGUGCUUUUGCGACCCAUGGGACCCAAGAUGGUAGAAAACUGGGAGAAGGAAAGAAAAACUGCUGAUGAGCAGUGAAGGUGCAGCAUGUGAACGAUGGGCAGACCCCCCCACAGAGCCCAGGAAAAGUGGCCUCUGGACAAACAAGGCCCACUGGGUGAGGAAUCGAGGGCAGGGAGGGGACUGCUAGGCUCUUGCUUCUUUGUAAAAGUGCAUGAAUUGAAACUGAAUUCCGACAGACAGCAGUGGCUGGCCAGCAUAAACCCUGAGCCCCCAGGUGUUCCCUCCAGAGGGCGCUCUGACCUCACAGGCGGGCUCGCCGGCAAAACCCGGGGAUGCCGCUUCCACUGCGGCUCUAGGGAGGGGCUGCGGCCUUGGGCUCGGUACCAGUGUAAACAUUUGCAACGUUCUCAGAGAAGGGCAGGAGCUGCCUGCCCCCCAGGGAGACAGCCUGUGAGGUGCCCAUCAGAAGUAAAGAAAGAGAGGUCACUCAGGUGUUCUUUCUCAGUGGGCGCGCGCAACACCACGCAGGGGAGCAGGAGGCCUGCCAGGCUUCUGACCCUGCGGCUUAGUCGAGACAUGCUGCUGCUGGGGCCAGGGCCACCGUGACACGCUCAGGGAAAGGGUGCUGGCUCCUCGCCCUUGGGACGAGGGAAGUGGCCAGAAGUGCCGGAACCCGCACACGGCGCUCCCCAGGACUCGUGCACGGCAGGUCCCCAGCAGGAUCUCUCUCAGGCACCUCAGACAGAUGACUGCUCCCCCAGCUGCAGAAGAAGAAACUUUACCUGCACAGGUGCUCACCCCGCCUGCGGGCUGGGAAGCCACCCCAAGAGCAGAGGUCGGGCCCAGCGAGGAGUGGGGAGAGGACACUCCAGGAGCAGCCAGCUGGCCCCAAAGGCCCAGGAAGUCCUGGGAAGUCCUGGGUUAAGACGGUUCGUGCUUC